UACGGAGGGGGCUAGCGUUGUUCGGAAUUACUGGGCGUAAAGCGCACGUAGGCGGCUUUGUAAGUUAGAGGUGAAAGCCCAGGGCUCAACCCUGGAAUUGCCUUUAAGACUGCAUCGCUUGAAUUGUGGAGAGGUAAGUGGAAUUCCGAGUGUAGAGGUGAAAUUCGUAGAUAUUCGGAAGAACACCAGUGGCGAAGGCGACUUACUGGACACAUAUUGACGCUGAGGUGCGAAAGCGUGGGGAGCAAACA
rnacentral:rRNA from 1 species